GACGAACGCUGGCGGCGUGCCUAAUACAUGCAAGUUGAGCGCUGAAGGUUGGUCCUUGUACCAACUGGAUGAGCAGCGAACGGGUGAGUAACGCGUGGGGAAUCUGCCUUUGAGCGGGGGACAACAUUUGGAAACGAAUGCUAAUACCGCAUAAAAACUUUAAACACAAGUUUUAAGUUUGAAAGAUGCAAUUGCAUCACUCAAAGAUGAUCCCGCGUUGUAUUAGCUAGUUGGUGAGGUAAAGGCUCACCAAGGCGAUGAUACAUAGCCGACCUGAGAGGGUGAUCGGCCACAUUGGGACUGGGACACGGCCCAAACUCCUACGGGAGGCAGCAGUAGGGAAUCUUCGGCAAUGGACGAAAGUCUGACCGAGCAACGCCGCGUGAGUGAAGAAGGUUUUCGGAUCGUAAAACUCUGUUGGUAGAGAAGAACGUUGGUGAGAGUGGAAAGCUCAUCAAGUGACGGUAACUACCCAGAAAGGGACGGCUAACUACGUG
rnacentral:rRNA from 1 species